rnacentral:rRNA from 1 species
UGGGGAAUUUUCCGCAAUGGGCGAAAGCCUGACGGAGCAAUACCGCGUGAGGGAGGAAUGCCUUUGGGUUGUAAACCUCUUUUCUCAGGGAAGAAGAUCUGACGGUACCUGAGGAAUAAGUAUCGGCUAACUCCGUGCCAGCAGCCGCGGUAACACGGAGGAUGCAAGCGUUAUCCGGAAUCAUUGGGCGUAAAGCGUCCGCAGGUGGUUUCCAAAGUCUGCUGUUAAAGACUGGAGCUCAACUCCGGAACGGCGGUGGAAACUUGGAAACUAGAGUUCGGUAGGGGUAGCAGGAAUUCCCAGUGUAGCGGUGAAAUGCGUAGAUAUUGGGAAGAACAACGGUGGCGAAGGCGUGCUACUGGACCGUAACUGACACUCAGGGACGAAAGCUAGGGGAGCGAAAGGGAUUAGAUACCCCUGUAGUCCUAGCUGUAAACGAUGGAAACUAGGUGUGGCUUGA